UACGGGGGGGGCAAGCGUUGUUCGGAAUUACUGGGCGUAAAGGGCUCGUAGGCGGCCAACUAAGUCAGACGUGAAAUCCCUCGGCUUAACCGGGGAACUGCGUCUGAUACUGGAUGGCUUGAGGUUGGGAGAGGGAUGCGGAAUUCCAGGUGUAGCGGUGAAAUGCGUAGAUAUCUGGAGGAACACCGGUGGCGAAGGCGGCGUUCUGGACUGCAACUGACACUGGGGAACGAAAGCCAGGGGAGCAAACGGG
rnacentral:rRNA from 1 species